rnacentral:rRNA from 1 species
GACGAACGCUGGCGGCGUGCUUAACACAUGCAAGUCGAACGGAAAGGCCCUGCUUUUGUGGGGUGCUCGAGUGGUGAACGGGUGAGUAACACGUGAGUGACCUGCCCUUGACUUUGGGAUAACUUCAGGAAACUGGGGCUAAUACCGGAUAGGAGCUCCUGCUGCAUGGUGGGGGUUGGAAAGUUUCGGCGGUUGGGGAUGGACUCGCGGCUUAUCAGCUUGUUGGUGGGGUAGUGGCUUACCAAGGCUUUGACGGGUAGCCGGCCUGAGAGGGUGACCGGCCACAUUGGGACUGAGAUACGGCCCAGACUCCUACGGGAGGCAGCAGUGGGGAAUAUUGCACAAUGGGCGGAAGCCUGAUGCAGCAACGCCGCGUGCGGGAUGACGGCCUUCGGGUUGUAAACCGCUUUCGCCUGUGACGAAGCGUGAGUGACGGUAAUGGGUAAAGAAGCACCGGCUAACUACGUG